GACGAACGCUGGCGGCGUGCUUAACACAUGCAAGUCGAACGGAAAGGCCCUGCUUUUGUGGGGUGCUCGCGUGGCGAACGGGUGAGUAACACGUGAGUAACCUGCCCUUGACUUUGGGAUAACUUCAGGAAACUGGGGCUACUACCGGAUAGGAGCUCCUGCUGCAUGGUGGGGGUCGGAAAGUUUCGGCGGAUGGGGAUGGACUCGCGGCUUAUCAGCUUGUUGGUGGGGUAGUGGCUUACCAAGGCUUUGACGGGUAGCCGGCCUGAGAGGGUGACCGGCCACAUUGGGACUGAGAUACGGCCCAGACUCCUACGGGAGGCAGCAGUGGGGAAUAUUGCACAAUGGGCGGAAGCCUGAUGCAGCAACGCCGCGUGCGGGAUGACGGCCUUCGGGUUGUAAACCGCUUUCGCCUGUGACGAAGCGUGAGUGACGGUAAUGGGUAAAGAAGCACCGGCUAACUACGUG
rnacentral:rRNA from 1 species